rnacentral:rRNA from 1 species
AUGAUAAAUUUAACGGGCGCGGUACCCUAACCGUGCAAAGGUAGCAUAAUCACUUGUUCUUUAAAUAAGGACUUGUAUCAACGGCAUCACGAGGGUUUUACUGUCUCCUCUCUCCAAUCGGUGAAACUGAUCUCCCCAUGAAAAAGUGGGGAUAAACUUAUAAGACGAGAAGACCCCAUGGAGCUUUAAAACCUAUAGCAACUUAGCAAAACAUUUCCAUCUAGCUAUAAAACGAUGCUCAAGGACUUUAGGUUGGGAGGACCACGGAGCACAAGAUAACCUCCGUAAUGAAAAGAAUAAAAUCUUUACCAAAGAGCCACAACUCUAAGAAUUAGAAAACUAACGUACAUGACCCGAUAUCGAUCAAUGAACUAAGUUACCCUGGGGAUAACAGCGCAAUCCACUCUGAGAGUUCAUAUCGACGAGCGGGCUUACGACCUCGAUGUUGGAUCAGGGUAUCCUGGUGGUGCAGCCGCUACCGAAGGUUCGUUUGUUCAACGAUUAAAACCC